rnacentral:snoRNA from 1 species
UUGCUAUGAUGACACUUAGGACACCAUUGAAAUGAAAAUGUAACUACAUUCAACUGAGCAAU